rnacentral:misc_RNA from 1 species
GAUGAAGAACGCAGCGAAAUGCGAUACGUAAUGUGAAUUGCAGAAUUCAGUGAAUCAUCGAGUCUUUGAACGCACAUUGCGCCCGCUGGUAUUCCGGCGGGCAUGCCUGUUCGAGCGUCAUUUCAACCCUCAAGCCCCCGGGUUUGGUGUUGGGGAUCGGCUCUGCCCUUCUGGGCGGUGCCGCCCCCGAAAUACAUUGGCGGUCUCGCUGCAGCCUCCAUUGCGUAGUAGCUAACACCUCGCAACUGGAACGCGGCGCGGCCAUGCCGUAAAACCCCAACUUCUGAAUGUUGACCUCGGAUCAGGUAGGAAUACCCGCUGAACUUAAGCAUAUCAAUAAGCGGAGGA